rfam:Camelus ferus unplaced genomic scaffold scaffold2317, whole genome shotgun sequence.
GAAGUUAUAGCUCACUGGUAGAGUGCAUGCUUAGCAUACACAAGGUCCUGAGUUCAAUCCCCAGUACCUCCA